AUUGAACGCUGGCGGCAGGCCUAACACAUGCAAGUCGAGCGAGCGGCGGACGGGAGAGUAAUGUCUGGGAAACUGCCAGAUAGAGGGGGAUAACUACUGGAAACGGUAGAUAAUACCGCAUAACAUCAGAUGUGCCCAGAUGGGAUUAGCUAGGAGGUGGGGUAACGGCUCACCUAGGCGACGCUCCCUAGGUGGUCUGAGAGGAUGACCAGCCACACUGGAACUGAGACACGGUCCAGACUCCUACGGGAGGCAGCAGUGGGGAAUAUUGCACAAUGGGCGCAAGCCUGAUGCAGCCAUGCCGCGUGUAUGAAGAAGGCCUUCGGGUUGUAAAGUACUUUCAGCGGGGAGGCGUUACCCGCAGAAGAAGCACCGGCUAACUCCGUGCCAGCAGCCGCGGUAAUUC
rnacentral:rRNA from 1 species